ACGCUGGCGGCGUGCCUAAUACAUGCAAGUAGAACGCUGAAGAGAGGAGCUUGCUCUUCUUGGAUGAGUUGCGAACGGGUGAGUAACGCGUAGGUAACCUGCCUGGUAGCGGGGGAUAACUAUUGGAAACGAUAGCUAAUACCGCAUGAAAUGGAUUAUCGCAUGAUAAUUCAUUGAAAGGUGCAAAUGCAUCACUACCAGAUGGACCUGCGUUGUAUUAGCUAGUUGGUGGGGUAACGGCUCACCAAGGCGACGAUACAUAGCCGACCUGAGAGGGUGAUCGGCCACACUGGGACUGAGACACGGCCCAGACUCCUACGGGAGGCAGCAGUAGGGAAUCUUCGGCAAUGGACGGAAGUCUGACCGAGCAACGCCGCGUGAGUGAAGAAGGUUUUCGGAUCGUAAAGCUCUGUUGUAAGAGAAGAACGAGUGUGAGAGUGGAAAGUUCACACUGUGACGGUAUCUUACCAGAAAGGGACGGCUAACUACGUGCCAGCAGCCGCGGUAAUACGUAGGUCCCGAGCGUUGUCCGGAUUUAUUGGGCGUAAAGCGAGCGCAGGCGGUUAGAUAAGUCUGAAGUUAAAGGCUGUGGCUUAACCAUAGUACGCUUUGGAAACUGUUUAACUUGAGUGCAAGAGGGGAGAGUGGAAUUCCAUGUGUAGCGGUGAAAUGCGUAGAUAUAUGGAGGAACACCGGUGGCGAAAGCGGCUCUCUGGCUUGUAACUGACGCUGAGGCUCGAAAGCGUGGGGAGCGAACAGGAUUAGAUACCCUGGUAGUCCACGCCGUAAACGAUGAGUGCUAGGUGUUAGACCCUUUCCGGGGUUUAGUGCCGCAGCUAACGCAUUAAGCACUCCGCCUGGGGAGUACGACCGCAAGGUUGAAACUCAAAGGAAUUGACGGGGGCCCGCAC
rnacentral:rRNA from 1 species